rnacentral:rRNA from 1 species
AUUAUGAGAGUUUGAUCCUGGCUCAGGACGAACGCUGGCGGCGUGCCUAAUACAUGCAAGUCGAACGCUUCUUUUCCCACCGGAGCUUGCUCCACCGGGAAAAGAGGAGUGGCGAACGGGUGAGUAACACGUGGGUAACCUGCCCAUCAGAAGGGGAUAACACUUGGAAACAGGUGCUAAUACCGUAUAACAAUCGAAACCGCAUGGUUUCGUUUUGAAAGGCGCUUUACGGUGCCGCUGAUGGAUGGACCCGCGGUGCAUUAGCUAGUUGGUGAGGUAACGGCUCACCAAGGCCACGAUGCAUAGCCGACCUGAGAGGGUGAUCGGCCACAUUGGGACUGAGACACGGCCCAAACUCCUACGGGAGGCAGCAGUAGGGAAUCUUCGGCAAUGGACGAAAGUCUGACCGAGCAACGCCGCGUGAGUGAAGAAGGUUUUCGGAUCGUAAAACUCUGUUGUUAGAGAAGAACAAGGGUGAGAGUAACUGUUCACCCCUUGACGGUAUCUAACCAGAAAGCCACGGCUAACUACGUGCCAGCAGCCGCGGUAAUACGUAGGUGGCAAGCGUUGUCCGGAUUUAUUGGGCGUAAAGCGAGCGCAGGCGGUUUCUUAAGUCUGAUGUGAAAGCCCCCGGCUCAACCGGGGAGGGUCAUUGGAAACUGGGAGACUUGAGUGCAGAAGAGGAGAGUGGAAUUCCAUGUGUAGCGGUGAAAUGCGUAGAUAUAUGGAGGAACACCAGUGGCGAAGGCGGCUCUCUGGUCUGUAACUGACGCUGAGGCUCGAAAGCGUGGGGAGCAAACAGGAUUAGAUACCCUGGUAGUCCACGCCGUAAACGAUGAGUGCUAAGUGUUGGAGGGUUUCCGCCCUUCAGUGCUGCAGCUAACGCAUUAAGCACUCCGCCUGGGGAGUACGACCGCAAGGUUGAAACUCAAAGGAAUUGACGGGGGCCCGCACAAGCGGUGGAGCAUGUGGUUUAAUUCGAAGCAACGCGAAGAACCUUACCAGGUCUUGACAUCCUUUGACCACUCUAGAGAUAGAGCUUCCCCUUCGGGGGCAAAGUGACAGGUGGUGCAUGGUUGUCGUCAGCUCGUGUCGUGAGAUGUUGGGUUAAGUCCCGCAACGAGCGCAACCCUUAUUGUUAGUUGCCAUCAUUUAGUUGGGCACUCUAGCAAGACUGCCGGUGACAAACCGGAGGAAGGUGGGGAUGACGUCAAAUCAUCAUGCCCCUUAUGACCUGGGCUACACACGUGCUACAAUGGGAAGUACAACGAGUCGCGAAGUCGCGAGGCUAAGCUAAUCUCUUAAAGCUUCUCUCAGUUCGGAUUGUAGGCUGCAACUCGCCUACAUGAAGCCGGAAUCGCUAGUAAUCGCGGAUCAGCACGCCGCGGUGAAUACGUUCCCGGGCCUUGUACACACCGCCCGUCACACCACGAGAGUUUGUAACACCCGAAGUCGGUGAGGUAACCUUUUGGAGCCAGCCGCCUAAGGUGGGAUAGAUGAUUGGGGUGAAGUCGUAACAAGGUAGCCGUAUCGGAAGGUGCGGCUGGAUCACCUCCUUUCUAAGGAA